GAUGAACGCUGGCGGCGUGCCUAACACAUGCAAGUCGGAACGGGGUUAAGGGAAAUUUUCGGAUGGAACUUAACUUAGUGGCGGACGGGUGAGUAACGCGUGGAUAACCUGCCUCACACUGGGGGAUAGCAGCUGGAAACGGCUGGUAAUACCGCAUAAGACCACAGCGCCGCAUGGUGCAGGGGUAAAAGAUUUAUCGGUGUGAGAUGGAUCCGCGUCUGAUUAGCCAGUUGGCGGGGUAACGGCCCACCAAAGCGACGAUCAGUAGCCGGACUGAGAGGUUGAACGGCCACAUUGGGACUGAGACACGGCCCAG
rnacentral:rRNA from 1 species